rnacentral:lncRNA from 1 species
AAAAUACCCAUAUACAUAUAUGUAUAUAAAUAUAAAUAUACACACCCAAAAUCAACACAUCAUCAUGAUGUAUCGGGGGAAAACAAUCCAACACAGAGACCGUUUUUACUAGACCACAUGGCGGAAUCCUCAAUACACAUGUGACUAGGGACGAGCGGUCAAACAAGGGGACUAUUGCUCCCCAGGCACGCACGGCAGAAUCCUCAAUACACGUGCAGCUGAAAUAAGUCUUACGUGCAGACAUCCCUGUCAACGUCUCUACGGUACAUCCCGCCAAGGGAGUAUAAUGGUGCAAUCCAUAACAUACCCAAAGUCACCAUAGUCCUUUAUAAAUAAUAUUAAUAAUAG